UUUUCUGUAAAAGAGCCUCAUUAUAUACCAUACAACUAAACUUACUGUUAACAACUCCCUCACUCUAUACUUCUAGCACCUAACAGGAGUAAUAAUGUUGUGGUGUUGGUGUGCGCUAUGAGCAUGCCCCUUUGUGGUGUGGAGUAUUGCGCGGUAUAAGUACCCUCAUUAUCAAUAUCUUUAAGUUGU